CUGUGAUAAACUGUGACUGAACUGGGGUUGUGGUUCAGUAGUAGAGCACUUGUCUAGCAUGGAUGAGGUGCUGGGUUCCAUUCCCAGCACUGCAAAGAAAAAAAGAAAUGAAAAUCUUCCUGGGUAUGGAAUUGGCCUCCAGCAUCCUCUCCUGUGAUACAAACUUAAUCCUUCCUGGUUGAUGAAGUUCCAGGGAGGGCUCAUGACAAUUGAGCUCCUUCUGGAGGACCUGUUUUUAGGCGGAUAAGGGAAGUCAAUGAAAGUCCCUGCCUGCAUUUACUAUUCCCCAAGUGUCCUCAAGUUUGGAGCAGCAUGCUGAGUUUGGAGCAGUCCACCUCACAAGAGAAUCAGAGGUGGGUAGUUCUGCUGCUUAUGCAGCUACCUCCAGGGCCAGGAAAGGUGCUUGGCCCUCUGCCCACAAAAGCAGGGACUAUAAGGAUUUACUCAUAUCCUACAGAAGUGCAUGGGAUGGUGGGAAAACCUGGCUCCCUUCCCAUCGUCCAGCUCCCAAGCAAGGAGAGACCCAGUUGACAGGGCACCUCUGGGAACCAGUGUUUUACUUAUUCAGAACUCAGUCCUACUCUACCUAGAAGGGGAGGGUUCAGGGCUCUAAGAGAGGGCUGGGGUAGAGAGUUGCACCCCUAAUUCCAAGGAGAGAUGAAGAUAUAAUUUAUGUGGGCAGGAAGCAACAACUGAAGAGCUAGGGAGAAGCUGCUGUGGGGAGCAUUUCAGUGGAGUUGAAUAAGAAUUUUGGGGUACAAAAAAGAUAGUCUGAGACUCAAAAAUGACAGGGCAGGUGAGCUGUUAGAAUGCAGGAAAAGCCCUGAGCCUUUGAAUUGCAAAAAUUUUCCUGUGCAAACUGGCCCGUGGCUCUUGCCCUUGGCCCAAGCCCUUGGUCCACACCCUUGACUCAUGUCCUUGCAUGCAAAAUAAUACAAGGACACUGCACAAGUGCUAGAAAAACCGUUGUGAAGUUAUGUAAUUCUGCCUUGACUCCACCUCUGUUUCAGCCUUAGUUACUGUCC
rnacentral:lncRNA from 1 species